AACGCACAUUGCGCUCUCUGGUAUUCCGGAGAGCAUGCUUGUUUGAGUAUCAGUAAACUCCCUCAAUCCAAUGUUUGUUGGAUUGGACUUGAGCCUAUCCCAGACCCGAGGCUUUUUUGGCCUUAGUCAUUUUGGGUAGCUUAAAAUGAAAGGUGCCAAGCUUACCAGUUACUUUAAACAUAGUCGAUCUGGCUAAUGCGUAUUGAUUAGUCCCUGUGGACUAUUACUUCGCUUACGCCGUAGAGAUUAUGGAUUGGUUUGGCUUUGCCUAUUGCAGGAUUUACUCAGAGUAUUAGACCCCCCCCACCAUCCCCUCUCUAAGGGGGACGGGGGGAGUCUUCUCCCUCUGUGAUCUCGAUCUCAAAUCAAGUAGGACUACCCGCUGAACUUAA
rnacentral:misc_RNA from 1 species